rnacentral:rRNA from 1 species
AAAGCCUGACGCAGCCAUGCCGCGUGAAUGAUGAAGGUCUUAGGAUUGUAAAAUUCUUUCACCGGGGAAGAUAAUGACGGUACCCGGAGAAGAAGCCCCGGCUAACUUCGUGCCAGCAGCCGCGGUAAUACGAAGGGGGCUAGCGUUGCUCGGAAUUACUGGGCGUAAAGGGCGCGUAGGCGGAUAGUUUAGUCAGAGGUGAAAGCCCAGGGCUCAACCUUGGAACUGCCUUUGAUACUGGCUAUCUUGAGUUCGGGAGAGGUGAGUGGAAUGCCGAGUGUAGAGGUGAAAUUCGUAGAUAUUCGGCGGAACACCAGUGGCGAAGGCGACUCACUGGCCCGAUACUGACGCUGAGGCGCGAAAGCGUGGGGAGCAAACAGGAUUAGAUACCCUGGUAGUCCACGCUGUAA